rnacentral:tRNA from 2 species
GGACUUGUAGCUCAGUCGGUUAGAGCAACAGACUCAUAAUCUGGAGGUCCUUGGUUCAAGCCCAAGCUGGUCCA